ACUCUCCAGCUUCCUUACCUUUGGUAUCUAAAUCAUGGUCAGAGUGGCUGAUAAAGGAGGAAAAGUAACACCGAAGUAGACUUGGAGUCCUUAGUGACAUACAAGCUCUAUGUAAACAUAC
rnacentral:snoRNA from 1 species